UACGUAGGGGGCAAGCGUUGUCCGGAUUUAUUGGGCGUAAAGAGCGUGUAGGCGGCCAUACAGGUCCGUUGUGAAAACUGGAGGCUUAACCUCCAGACGUCGAUGGAAACCGUAUGGCUAGAGUCCGGAAGAGGAGAGUGGAAUUCCUGGUGUAGCGGUGAAAUGCGCAGAUAUCAGGAAGAACACCCGUGGCGAAGGCGGCUCUCUGGGACGGUACUGACGCUGAGACGCGAAGGCCAGGGGAGCAAACGGG
rnacentral:rRNA from 1 species